rnacentral:rRNA from 1 species
UACGUAGGUGGCAAGCGUUGUCCGGAAUUAUUGGGCGUAAAGCGCGCGCAGGCGGUCCUUUAAGUCUGAUGUGAAAGCCCACGGCUCAACCGUGGAGGGUCAUUGGAAACUGGGGGACUUGAGUGCAGGAGAGAAGAGUGGAAUUCCACGUGUAGCGGUGAAAUGCGUAGAGAUGUGGAGGAACACCAGUGGCGAAGGCGACUCUUUGGCCUGUAACUGACGCUGUAGAGCGAAAGCGUGGGGAGCGAACAGG